GUUAAUUACAACUCAUGGUUGAGUAAUUGGAACAAUCAGGGCUAACAGGCUUGAGCCACUCCCUGAAUGGGGUAUAUCUGGGAAAUGUUUGUAAUGUCUUUUGGGGACUUACUGGGGGACUUACUGAAUGCUUGCUGAGAGCCUACUAUGAAGAUGCAUGAAUUUAAUGCCAGAGACUUUAUUGCUUUUUAAAUUCAGAUCAUGCUGUUUUCCCACAUGCUUUUCCUGCCCUAAAGGCACCAUAAAUCCCUCAAGCUGCUCUAACCUAUGGCCCCGU
rnacentral:lncRNA from 11 species